GACGAACGCUGGCGGCGUGCUUAACACAUGCAAGUCGAGCGGUAAGGCCCUUUCGGGGGUACACGAGCGGCGAACGGGUGAGUAACACGUGGGUGACCUGCCCUCAGCUCUGGGAUAAGCCUGGGAAACCGGGUCUAAUACUGGAUAUGACUCCAUGACGCAUGUUGUGGGGUGGAAAGCCUUGUGCGGCUGAGGAUGGGCCCGCGGCCUAUCAGCUUGUUGGUGGGGUGANGGCCUACCAAGGCGACGACGGGUAGCCGGCCUCGAGAGGGCGACCGGCCACACUGGGACUGAGACACGGCCCAGACUCCUACGGGAGGCAGCAGUGGGGAAUCUUGCGCAAUGGGCGAAAGCCUGACGCAGCGACGCCGCGUGAGGGAUGACGGCC
rnacentral:rRNA from 1 species